rnacentral:lncRNA from 1 species
UGGGAUUUUGCCAUCAAAGAAGGAUUCCGUGUGUUUGACAGCCUCCCCACCACACAGCUUCUCACACGACGUUACAGCACCUGGGCCAGGCGAGGGCCUUUCCUCAGCAGGAGCUAUGGUACCUGGUCAUGUCCUGGGGCAGCUCCUGUGCCCAAAGCCCCCUUCAUCACUCCCACCUCCAGCCUCUUGGGAAUGGCCCAGAGUCUUUAUUGCAAGCUGGAAAAGAUGAUGGGCAUCCAGUGGGGUUUUCUGAUUUCCCUCCCUGGAUGGACUCCACGUCCUGUUCUAGAACUGAAGGCACAGAGCACCAGGACCCAAGCAGUGGCUCUGACAAUGACUCUUCAGGCCAUGGAUCAGCAUAGCCAGGUCUCUGGAGCAGAGCAUCUCAGCAGUGCAGCCCCCAGCCCGGUGCUUUGCUCAGGCCUGAGCUCCACGUCUCGCUGAAGGUCCCACAUGGUUCACAGCACUCUGCAAACCAGAGCUGAGCCACCACCUCGGACCUGAGACUAAAGCAGCCUGGGAGCUGCUGAAUUCAGUGGUGUUUGCUGUUAUCCCAUAUCUGUAUCUUCAUUUCCAGGCUCAGGAGGUAGGCAGCAAAAUCCAUCCUUGGAUCAUGAGGCUUGCAGGGCAGGAAUGACCAGGCUAGGGGUGCAAGACUUGGUGUUGGGAAUAAAAAGAAUGGAGUAGGGUGUCUCUCCUCCUCCAGCACACCUCCAUCAACCUGCAGACACUACAAGAGACCUUGGGGAUGGAGGGAACUGAAUCAGGUCCUUGAGGACUCUGGAGCUGGGAGGACCUGGGAGUACUCCAUGGGGCCAUGACUGCAGAGGAUCUCUCUGGGUUCCUUUGGGGACCACAGAGGAUGCAGACUGGACCAGUGAGGGCUUUCAGUGCUCCACAGAGGCCAACAGCUAGGGGAGAACUGUGGGAACAAUUGUGGCAUUUCCUGGGCUAUGUAUAAUCUAUUAUUAAUAUUAAAGUGAUGGGCACAAUAUUAAUGCAAUAUUAAAGUGAUGGAAACA